CUAAAUACAGACACAUACAGGUUCGUAUCUAUCGGUAGAUUUCAUUUAUCCUCCGUUAAUGGUCUUAAAAUCCGCUUGGUGUUCGUGCGUUCUGCUCCUGUACAUGAAACUGGAUCCCUCAGCAUUGGUGAACCUGCGGAACGAUGUAAUGAAGACGUCUUCUUGAGGACACAUCACCACCUUAAUUUUCCUGAUUGCAAGAUUGUGACGGAAUCCAAGCGGCCUUGAAUAAUUUACAUCACUGAGGUGAAGAAGGGCCCACAAAAGGGGUAGAGGAGGACGAGGGGGGCCAGGAACCAUACCCCCCGCUCUACACUUCCAUCACCCCCUCAGAAACACAUUCCCUGAGGACACGCACUCUACACCAGCCUUUGUCGUCCUCCAAACAGGCCCAAGUCGAUUGUUCACUUCCAAACGACACAGGUGAGAGCGUGUGAGCAUUUGAGAAACAUUAUUACUUCUUUUUUCAUAGAAAGCCGAAGCUCUCAAUACAGCACGGAGCAUUACAGGAAGUGAUAGGCCCGUGUAAGCCACCCUGGGCGUGACUGUAGGUUACAAGAGAUUGAAGAGAAGUAAUCACAGUUGCGUCCACACCACCGAGCACACUUCUGGAACAGAGUGUUGAAUAUCAGUCACGCCCUCAAAAAGAAACCUGCACGCAACAAAGAUGGCAAAACAGAAUAACCAAGAUCGGCUCUUAAGACAAAAGCACGUGGCAGGUGUUGAGUGUGUCGGGGUAAGAUGACGCUCGUGGGAAGGCCAUCCUCACAAAGGACUUGUUUUCCAUUAACGCGCUGAUCCAGAGUCAGUGUUCCAGAGGCCUCCCCUGACGAUUCAUCCAUCACGGCUCUCCAUCAGAUAUGAUUCUAGUUCAGUCAUUCCACAUCAACGACACGCAUGAUGCUCAUGUUUAUGUUCACCUUUUCAAGGAACUGCUCAAUAACUGUCGACUUCGCUCUCACAGGACAACACAGACCGCUGUAUGAAUAUAAUUAUUGACAGACUAAUCGGCCGGGGUGAUCAAUUUAAGUCUGUGGGAGACUUUAUGGCUGAUAAUUGCGUAGAGUAAUCUGUAGAUGUGUAUCGUUUCAAAACGUUUAAUUUUAGCAAUUUUGGGGUACUUAUUUGUUAUCAUUAGCCGACAUGCAGUCUCCAGACGUUUUGGUGUUAAACAGUACUCUACACUUUUUGGUAGCUAAAAGGGAAAAUUAGACAAAUUAUUUGUUACAGACACUAAAAGGACAGAUUGUUUAAUUGCUAUAAAUUGCUAUAUUUUCUGGAGAUUUAGCAUAAAAGAUUUACAUUGACCAACAACUGGUGAGCUUAUAUUAUUAGAUUUUUUUACAAAUAAUUUAAAGAAUGAGCUAGAUAACCCACAUUAAUUUAAUUUAAGUGA